rnacentral:rRNA from 1 species
CGGAGGAUCCAAGCGUUAUCCGGAAUCAUUGGGUUUAAAGGGUCCGUAGGCGGUUUAGUAAGUCAGUGGUGAAAGCCCAUCGCUCAACGGUGGAACGGCCAUUGAUACUGCUAGACUUGAAUUAUUGGGAAGUAACUAGAAUAUGUAGUGUAGCGGUGAAAUGCUUAGAGAUUACAUGGAAUACCAAUUGCGAAGGCAGGUUACUACCAAUAUAUUGACGCUGAUGGACGAAAGCGUGGGGAGCGAACAGGAUU